rnacentral:rRNA from 1 species
UGCAAGUCGAGCGGAGUGUUCCCUUCGGGGUUCACUUAGCGGCGGACGGGUGAGUAACACGUAGGCAACCUGCCCCAAGACCGGGAUAACUGGCGGAAACGCCUGCUAAUACCGGAUAAUCGAUUCGCUCGCCUGAGCGAAUCGUGAAAGAUGCUUCGGCAUCGCUUAUGGAUGGGCCUGCGGCGCAUUAGCUAGUUGGCGGGGUAACGGCCCACCAAGGCGACGAUGCGUAGCCGACCUGAGAGGGUGAUCGGCCACACUGGGACUGAGACACGGCCCAGACUCCUACGGGAGGCAGCAGUAGGGAAUCUUCGGCAAUGGACGAAAGUCUGACCGAGCAACGCCGCGUGAGUGAGGAAGGUCUUCGGAUCGUAAAGCUCUGUUGCCAGGGAAGAACAGCCUGGGGAGGGAAUGCCCUAGGCUUGACGGUACCUGAGAAGAAAGCCCCGGCUAACUACGUGCCAGCAGCCGCGGUAAUACGUAGGGGGCAAGCGUUGUCCGGAAUUAUUGGGCGUAAAGCGCGCGCAGGCGGUUUCUUAAGUCUUGUGUUUAAUCCCGGGGCUCAACCUCGGUUCGCAUGGGAAACUGGGAAACUGGAGUGCAGGAGAGGAAAGUGGAAUUCCACGUGUAGCGGUGAAAUGCGUAGAGA